CCGGGGCGUGACCGGGGCGCAGACCCGCGGGCCGCUCCUCCUGGUCCCCGGGGUGCGGGACCCGAGCACCCCGGGCCAGGAGGCCAGCGACGGACCGCGCGCCCCUCGGCGGGGCUGGGGUUCGGGGCGAGGCCGGGGUUCCGGGGCGGGGGUGGGGUUGGGGGGCGAGGUCGGGGUCCCGGGCGAGGGUCAGCGGGGCCGGCCCGCCGUGUGUGGCCGGGGUCCCCCGUGGCGGAGCUGGUCCGGGCCCCCGCAGCCGGGUCUGGAGCCGGGGUCGGCACCCGAGGAAGCGGCUGUCGAGACGCCCGCAGCCCGAGGUGCCGCAGCCGGCGUCGGGCCGCAGGUGGGCCCCUCCCGCCGGGCCUGUCCCCCUUGGGGCCGGUGCUGACGCCUCGCGUCGCGCGGGCUGCGGAUGCGGACCUGCGGAGCCUUGGGGCUUGGGCGGCCGGGUGGCGAGGUACGCAGUGCCCCCAGGCACUGGCAGCUUCGGGGCGCCCGCGGCCGGAACCCGGAACGCGGCCACCACGGGGCACCUGGCUCUGCCGACGCCGCGGCGCCCGAGUUCGCCCAGCCCGGUGCGCUCCCGGGCCGAGGGGGCGCCCCCUGGACGGGAGCCCCGCAGGGCGGGAGGAGCGCGCUGUGGGCGGGGCGCGGGGAAGCCCAGGGCCGCAGGCGGGGGCGCCCCGGGGAGGGGGUCGGCCACCCGGGGGGCGUCCCCGGAGCCCCGAGGACCGACCUCCAGGCCGCGCCCGCCCGCUCGCCCGCCCGCCGCCCGGGUUACCGAGGACCGGGCCCGCCGCGCGGCCGGCGCGCAUCCCCGCUCGGGCGACAGCGUCAGGGGUGCCCGCCCCGCAGCCGGGGGCGCCAGGGGAACCCCCAACGGAGGCCGAAACUGCAUCUUCCGUGCGGGGGGCGGGGGGCGGCGACGCGGAGUCGCUGACUGGGGCCCCUGGAGUUUUGCGGGGCCUGGCGGUGCCCCGGAAGGCGGGAUUCCGAGGACGGGGCGGGGGGGGGGGGCAGGUGCCGUCUUUCCUAGAGCCGAGGGCCCCGCUGAGAGCAGGGGAAGGACGGGGUGUCGGGAAGGGAGGACGGAGGAGGACGUGGCCGGACGGCGGGAGGCGUGGACAGGGGAGUAGGUGCGUGCGAGCGGCCCCCGACGCAGGGCCCGGCGCAGGCGGUGAACCUCGGGUGGGCGCCCCCCGGCUGCCUGCGGGCGGGGCGGGGCGGGGCGGGGCGGGGGCUCCCCGUCGCCAGGCGCUGGCUCGGUGCUCGUCGGGGGCGGGACGACAGCUAGAAGGGGCGCGGCGUGGGGGGC
rnacentral:lncRNA from 12 species